CGAAAUCAAGAGCCAGACACUUCACCGACUGUGCCCCCCCAGGUGCCCCCCAUGUCCAUUCUUCACUGCCCAUUCCCUCCCUUUCAGCCAGGUGGGUCUCUCCUCAAGCUCCAGGAGGAACAACACACCUCCCCAGGACUCUCAGAGACAUCCCCAGUACUGGAGCUUCUGAUGACUGAUGACAUGUGUGGACCACGUUCCCAUGGCCUCUGGCACUCUUGCGGGGUUUCCACUGGCCCCUCGCCCCCUCCCUCCUCCAGUUUCUCUGUUGUUGGAUACGUGGAGGUGGCUGGAGGUGGGUGGAGGUGGCCGCCAGGCCUUCAUUCCUGUUCUGACGCGAGGAGCCAUCUCCUGAACGUCUAUUUGCCCUGCUAAUAAAUGGAUGGAUUCCUAAGUCUCUUUUGCAA